rnacentral:rRNA from 1 species
UACGUAGGGCGCAAGCGUUGUCCGGAAUUAUUGGGCGUAAAGAGCUCGUAGGCGGUUUGUCACGUCGGAUGUGAAAGCCCGGGGCUUAACCCCGGGUCUGCAUUCGAUACGGGCAGACUAGAGUGUGGUAGGGGAGAUCGGAAUUCCUGGUGUAGCGGUGAAAUGCGCAGAUAUCGGGAAGAACACCCGUGGCGAAGGCGGCUCUCUGGGACGGUACUGACGCUGAGACGCGAAAGCGUGGGGAGCGAACAGG